rnacentral:misc_RNA from 1 species
GAUGAAGAACGUAGCGAAAUGCGAUACUUGGUGUGAAUUGCAGAAUCCCGUGAACCAUCGAGUCUUUGAACGCAAGUUGCGCCCGAAGCCAUUAGGCCGAGGGCACGCCUGCCUGGGCGUCACACGUCGUUGCCCCCCCAUCUACUCCUUCGGGAUUGCGGGGGGCGGAUGAUGGCCUCUCGUGCGCCUCGUCGCGCGGUUGGCCUAAAUGGCAAGUCCUCGGCGACGCACGCCACGACAAUCGGUGGUUGCGAAACCUCGGUUGCCUGUCGUGUGCGGUCGUCGCGCAUCGAGGGCUCGAAAAAAUUGCCGGGCUUCGGCUCGACUUUCAACGCGACCCCAGGUCAGGCGGGGUUACCCGCUGAAUUUAAGCAUAUCAAUAAGCGGAGGA